GCCGCGGUAAUACGUAGGGAGCAAGCGUUGUCCGGAAUUACUGGGUGUAAAGGGAGCGUAGGCGGGGAUGCAAGUUGGGUGUCAAACCUAUCGGCUCAACCGAUAGUCGCACUCAAAACGGCAGCUCUUGAGUGAAGUAGAGGCAGGCGGAAUUCCUAGUGUAGCGGUGAAAUGCGUAGAUAUUAGGAGGAACACCAGUGGCGAAGGCGGCCUGCUGGGCUUUUACUGACGCUGAGGCUCGAAAGUGUGGGGAGCAAACAG
rnacentral:rRNA from 1 species